AAAAAUUUAGUUAAAAAUAAUAACAUUAGCCUGUCAAGCUAAAAUUACUUCUUAAUACAAGUAAUUUUUA
rnacentral:tRNA from 1 species